AAAUUUUAUUUUAAUAAAAAUUUUUUAUUUACAUUAAAAAGAUUAAGAUAAUUCUUAAAAUUUUA
rnacentral:tRNA from 1 species